CUCCCUUCCUCCCUCCUUCUCUCUGUCUACCUCAGCAUUUCUGGGGUUCACUCUGCUCUGGGUACUGUGUAAAGGACUCCACAGCCAUCAACUUCCCUUCAUCCUUGCCGUGUCUUUGAAAGAGCUGAGAUUUCUUUACAUCACAGUGGUUCAAGGAGAAAAACACAGCCAGAUCCUUCCUCAUCUCAACAUAAAUUAAACCCAGAGGCAGUCAGCGCCACAGUCCACACUCGUAACCGUUACACUCACCUGGAAAUAAAAGUAUUUUUGUGCGGGGACUGCAAGGACUAAGCCCGGCCGCACUCCGAGUUUCUCCUCCUCACAGUGACUCAUUGCUCAGGUGAGGAAACUGAGGCUCAGAGAGGGUCCGUGGCAUGUCCAAGGUUACUCUGCUGUUAAUUGUUUUCUUGGCACUCUCUCCCUUCUCACCUGUGACUACCUGAGUGUCCCCAGAGGCAAGGAACUAUGUGAGCCACUCCAGUGUUCCCAGCCCCAAGGCCAGGCACAGUGGACAUUUAUUGCUGAAUGAAUGAAUCAAGAGAGAGGAUCAGAAAGCUGCAGAGGAUGAUAGAUCUGCAAAAUUCUCCCUGGGUGAGGCCCAGGCUCAGCUUCCAGAACAGCUCCAUCUGUCUCCCACUCACUGAGAUUGAACUAAUGUCCCACAGUUGGACAGACCUGAAAUUGAGCUCUGUGAUUUUGGAUGGAGUCUCAAUAUGCUGCCCAGGCUGGAGUGUGGUGGUGCCAACAUAGCUCAUUGCAGCCUUGAACACCCAGGCUCAAGUGAUCCUCCUAUCUCAGCCUCCCAAGUAGCUGGGACUACAGGUGCUCCAUUAAAUCAGGAACCUUGUUGCUUCUGGUAUCUGGGGUGUCCCACCGCUACCCCCAUGUGAGUGCCUGGCACAUAUAGAUACUUGAUACCUGCUUGCUGAAUAAAUGAAUAAGUGCAACUUGACUGGAUGAUGAGAGGCACAGCUGAGUCCGGAGCAGACUGAGCCACCUAAGAGGGGAGGAACCGCUGCAGAGAAACCGUGUUAAGCCUUUUUGAAGUUCCAGAGGGAGAACAAGAGAGCGGAGGCUCCUGGUGGCUGGUGACAGGUGCUGAUUUGUUCUGGGGAAAGAGCACAGAAAAGUGCCUGGAGAGGAGGCGGGGCCAAAAUGGGAUGUAGGCGAUGGGAAGGACCCUCAAGACACAGUCCUGGGCUCCCAGGCAGGACCAACCCCCAAACCUGUCCCCCCAGGAGCCUGCAGAGCCACUGCCCUGACAGGGGACACCUCACUUCCUCUCCUUGCAGCUGCUCUUGGCUGGGAGAGCAGAGAACAGGGGACAGGAGAGAAGCCCCGAGAGUACUGAAGCUGAGGCUGGGGCGGUCUUCACUUCCCUCUUUCCUCGGCCCUUUUCCUGUUCUCUUGUCUUGUCUCUCUUUCUCUACUUUCCUUCUCCCUAGCCCAGUCUCUCACCGCUCUUCAGCCUCUGGGCCUUUCCUUCUUCCUCUCUUGCCCUCAUUCUUCCUUCUCUGUCCCUCUUGUCUUCUCUUUUACCUCUUCUCUUCUUCCCUCCUUCCUACAGCUAUGCCCUCUUCCCUCCUUUCUCUUGUCCCCAACCAGGGCAUUAGAAAUGCAUUCCAGUUACACUGAUCUGAUCACUGCAUAUUGUAUGCAUGCAUCAAAAUAUCACAUGUACCCCAGAAAUAUGUAAAUUACUGCAUAUCAAUAAAAAGAAAUGUAGCUUCUUUGCCUCACAUACAGAAAAGCCAAUCUGAAGUAUAAAUAAAUAAACAAACAAAUAAAUAAAACGAACCACACUGGCCCCCCCGCCGCCUCCCAGCCAUCAUCUGGGCCUGCCACUAUUUGCUCAGGGUAUCUAAACAUCAGCCAAAAUCAAAGAAAAAGUUUUAAAAUCUAUUGUUAAAAAUUUCCAAGGCUAAGUUGACAUGCAUGUACAAUAGCAUUUCCCAAACUGUGACUUAAUAAACUCCAAGCCUUCAAGUUGGGAGAGGUGGUUCCAUGAUACCGUUAAAAGCACAGACUGAAGCCCAUCUGCCUGGGUUUAAAUCCUUGCUCUGCAGCAUGAUAGUUAUGUGACC
rnacentral:lncRNA from 1 species